GAAUCUUCCGCAAUGGACGAAAGUCUGACGGAGCAACGCCGCGUGAGUGAAGAAGGUUUUCGGAUCGUAAAGCUCUGUUGUCAGGGAAGAACAAGUACCAUAGUAACUGAUGGUACCUUGACGGUACCUGACCAGAAAGCCACGGCUAACUACGUUCCAGCCGCCGCGGUAAUACGUAGGUGGCAAGCGUUGUCCGGAAUUAUUGGGCGUAAAGCGCGCGCAGGUGGUUCCAAAAGUCUGAUGUGAAAGCCCCCGGCUCAACCGGGGAGGGUCAUUGGAAACUGGGGAACUUGAGUGCAGGAGAGGAAAGUAGAAUUCCACGUGUAGCGGUGAAAUGCGUAGAUAUGUGGAGGAACACCAGUGGCGAAGGCGACUUUCUGGCCUGUAACUGACACUGAGGCGCGAAAGCGUGGGGAGCAAACAGG
rnacentral:rRNA from 1 species